AAUACAAUUAUCCUGUGAAUAAUAUUACAGUAAUUUUGAGCGGGAUCUAUCGGACUUCCACAGUCAAGCCACGCAGCCGGAAAGUUCUUCAGAGAUUGCACUAGAGUAUGUUCCACUAGAGAUAACGACACUACAGGCUGUUUGAAAGACAACACCGACUCAGGUAAUUUUCACACAACACAGUUGAAAACUAGUCAUGGGGUUUAAGUGCAAGCACUGUUUUGUCUCUACAGACACAAUCCCUAGCUGCAUAAAACACGUGAAAGUGCAUAGAAACCGUGCAAAUGUAAAUUUUCCUUGUGGUGUUGCAAAAUGUCCUUGUAACCUUAAGUCAGUGUGCGCAUUACAGAAUCACAUGUACAACAAGCAUGUCUUGCCUUAUAGUUGCAUACUUUCUAACAACGUUUUGUGUUUAUUAUACUGCUGAAGCACAGAUUUCCCUGCCUAGCACUCCGAGGCUAAUCAUGCUUGGAGGCAGCCAAGUCCCUUGAAUUUGUCCAACGCUUUUUUGUCCGGAUAAAUCCAGAACAGAGUAAAUGUGCUGCUAAAUUCCAGACCAGCAAGAGCACGGGAAAGAAGGUUCAAUGGAAAAAUCAGUCCCUGAAUCAACAUGUCUCCGCUCUAAUCCAGGACUUCAUUGAAUAUGACUGGCAGAAUACCUAGAGCAUGCCGGUAAAGAAGACGUCCACUCCACUCAGGCUCCAUUUCCAUACACACACACAUUGAUAGAUGCUGGGGUGGAGUUCUUGUUCUUGUGGUAGGACUUCACUACAACAUAUGCGCACAUUCUCUCUCUCUCUCUUUGUCUCUCUCUCUCUCUCCAUGUCUCUCUCUCUCCAUGUCUCUCUCUCUCUCACUCACUCACUCACUCACUCACUCACUCACUCACUCACACACACACACACAUUGACUCUCUUACACACAUGUAUUUGCCCACAUGGAUUCUCUAUCCCUUCCUCUCUGACUAGCACAUCACACAUGUACACGCACAGAGACAUGGACACAAACACACACACUACUCUGUCACACAUGCAUGUUCUCUCUCUACCUCCCUCGCACAUACUUCUGUCUAACUACAACAUGUAUAUGAUAUGUUGGGUUUUACUGUUUGUUUUUACUAAUACUAGUAGAGUAUGAUACAUUGAUAGACCAUGCUUUUCAUAUCUAUGUCUAUAUGUCAUAUCCUGUAUAUCUGAGAAUGUGAACGGUUGGAUGAAGUUUUACUGUUUGUUUUUAUGAAUUCUAAUAGUUGAAUAAAGUUUUUAAACCUCA